AAAGUCGUAACAAGGUCUCCGUUGGUGAACCAGCGGAGGGAUCAUUACAGAGUUAAACAAACUCCCAAACCCGUGUGAACUUUACCAGUAUAGUUGCCUCGGCGGCGCUGGAGUCGUGGAAAAGCUACCCGGAACCUACCCGGGAAACGGUAGCUGACCCGGCCCCGCAAGGCCCGCCGGUGGUCCAUACCCUAAACUCUUGAUAUAUAUCGCCAUUCUGAAUUUUAUAAACUUAAUAAGUUAAAACUUUCAACAACGGAUCUCUUGGUUCUG
rnacentral:misc_RNA from 1 species